GUGUGCUUGAUGGCUUUAGAAGUUCUUUGACUCCUAGAGUCUUGGAAGCUUUGAUUUGCACUCAAGAUUGGUUGAGAGCGGUUAUCGAGCCGAUUAAUAUUGAAGAGUGCAUCGAGAAUGCGGAAAAGUUUGAGUUGGAUAUGGAUCAUGUUAACGUGGAGAUUAACAGUACAUAGAGUUUACAAGUUGAAGCGAAA